GAUGAACGCUAGCGGCAGGCUUAACACAUGCAAGUCGAGGGGCAGCAUAAUGGAUAGCAAUAUCUAUGGUGGCGACCGGCGCACGGGUGCGUAACGCGUAUGCAACCUACCUUUAACAGGGGGAUAACACUGAGAAAUUGGUACUAAUACCCCAUAAUAUCAUAGAAGGCAUCUUUUAUGGUUGAAAAUUCCGAUGGUUAGAGAUGGGCAUGCGUUGCAUUAGCUAGUUGGUGGGGUAACGGCUCACCAAGGCGACGAUACAUAGGGGGACUGAGAGGUUAACCCCCCACACUGGUACUGAGACACGGACCAGACUCCUACGGGAGGCAGCAGUGAGGAAUAUUGGUCAAUGGACGCAAGUCUGAACCAGCCAUGCCGCGUGCAGGAUGACGGCUCUAUGAGUUGUAAACUGCUUUUGUACGAGGGUAAACGCAGAUACGUGUAUCUGUCUGAAAGUAUCGUACGAAUAAGGAUCGGCUAACUCCGUG
rnacentral:rRNA from 1 species